AAGGGGAAGAAAGAGGGAGGAGUGAAAGUAAAGGGAUGGAAAAGAGGGAGGAGUGAAAGUAAAGGGGAAGAAAAGAGGGAGGAGUGAAAGUAAAGGGAUGGAAAAGAGGGGGGAGUGAAAGUAAAGGGGAAGAAAAGAGGGAGGAGUGAAAGUAAAGGGAUGGAAAAAGAGGAGGAGUGAAAGUAAAGGGGAAGAAAAGAGGGAGGAGUGAAAGUAAAGGGAUGGAAAAAGAGGGAGGAGUGAAAGUAAAGGGGAAGAAAAGAGGGAGGAGUGAAAGUAAAGGGAUGGAAAAGAGGGGGGAGUGAAAGUAAAGGGGAAGAAAAGAGGGAGGAGUGUAAGUAAAGGGGAAGAAAAGAGGGAGGAGUGUAAGUAAAGGGGAAGAAAAGAGGGAGGAGUGUAAGUAAAGGGGAAGAAAAGAGGGGGGAGUGAAAGUAAAGGGAUGGAAAAGAGGGAGGAGUGAAAGUAAAGGGGAAGAAAAGAGGGAGGAGUGAAAGUAAAGGGGAAGAAAAGAGGGAGGAGUGAAAGUAAAGGGAUGGAAAAGAGGGAGGAGUGAAAGUAAAGGGGAAGAAAAGAGGGAGGAGUGAAAGUAAAGGGAUGGAAAAGAGGGAGGAGUGAAAGUAAAGGGGAAGAAAAGAGGGAGGAGUGAAAGUAAAGGGAUGGAAAAAGAGGGAGGAGUGUAAGUAAAGGGGAAGAAAAGAGGGAGGAGUGAAAGUAAAGGGAUGGAAAAGAGGGAGGAGUGUAAGUAAAGGGGAAGAAAAGAGGGAGGAGUGAAAGUAAAGGGAUGGAAAAGAGGGAGGAGUGAAAGUAAAGGGGAAGAAAAGAGGGAGGAGUGAAAGUAAAGGGAUGGAAAAGAGGGAGGAGUGAAAGUAAAGGGAUGGAAAAAGAGGGAGGAGUGAAAGUAAAGGGGAAGAAAAGAGGGAGGAGUGAAAGUAAAGGAAUGGAAAAAGAGGGAGGAGUGAAAGUAAAGGGAUGGAAAAGAGGGAGGAGUGAAAGUAAAGGGGAAGAAAAGAGGGAGGAGUGAAAGUAAAGGAAUGGAAAAGAGGGAGGAGUGAAAGUAAAGGGAUGGAAAAGAGGGAGGAUUGAAGAAAAGAGGGGAACAUGUGAGAAUUGAUGUAUAGAGGUAUUGGGAAGGAUUGUUGGGCAUCAUUUCCAAGUUCCUUGAGUUCUACAGUUCUACGUACUCACUCUGGUGUUCAUUGUACUGAUCUGAAAAGGAACACAACUAGAAACACAAGUUGAAACACAACUAGAAGGCUACUAUAGUUCAACUCAAAAAUGCCUAAUGUGUUGGCUAGUUUUCAUUAUUUAGUUCUCAACUUAUUCCUAAUUAAGUGUUUUUUUUAUGUUUCUGUUCAUGUUUUUUUUUUUUUCCUUUUCUGUUUCACCAAUGUUCACUUUAAAGGAAAUGUGUUUAUACAUCUGGACAUUAUAGCAUAUAAAGCAUACCUUUGGAUGUUAAAUAAACAGUUGAAAUGGC
ensembl:lncRNA